rnacentral:antisense_RNA from 1 species
GGGGACUGAACAUCGUUCACCAAAUACACUUUGUGAUGCUGGGCUUGAAAUCUACGGUUUUCCUGUCUUAAAAGAGAAUUCUGUGACUCCAUGGAAGACAUCUGAAUUUUGUUAGCAAGGAGUUCUUCUGUAGCUGCACGUUCUCUCUCAACUGCUGCUGCCAGCAAGAAAUGAGGUCCCACUCUGUCACCCAGGCUGGAGUGCAGUGGCACAAUCGUGGCUUACUGUAGCCUCAACCUCCUAGGCUCAAGCGAUCCUCCCACCUCAGCCUCCAAAGUAGCUGGGACUACAGAAAAACACAUACUUCUUGGAUUUGUGUUUCGGAAAACUGUGACAGUACCUGCUGAAGUUCACCGAUCUCAUGGCGUAAAUAAUCCUCCUUUCUGGCAGCUGCUUGUUCUGUACGCUGCAAUGCAAGCCUAAGGUCCCCCACCUGUAGGAGGAGAAACAAUACAUUCACAAACAAUGGU